rnacentral:lncRNA from 1 species
UCACAGCCGUCCAUUUUGAUUAAAUCUGGACCGUCCGCUCUUGAUUGAAUCUGGGCCGUCCAUUCUUGAUUGAAUCUGGGCCGUCCGUGCAAUUGCAUCUGGGCUGUCUGUGCGCACGCUUGAUCUGGGCCGUCCGUGCGCGCGGGGACGCAUCUGGGCCGUCCGAUCGCGCGCACGCGGAUCACCCACGUGGCCCGUUCCCGGGUCGACGUGGUCUCGCCACGUGGCAGGUCCUGGUUGGCCAGGGCU